rnacentral:rRNA from 1 species
UGGGGAAUAUUGCACAAUGGGCGCAAGCCUGAUGCAGCCAUGCCGCGUGUGUGAAGAAGGCCUUCGGGUUGUAAAGCACUUUCAGCGGGGAGGAAGGCGUUAAGGUUAAUAACCUUGGCGAUUGACGUUACCCGCAGAAGAAGCACCGGCUAACUCCGUGCCAGCAGCCGCGGUAAUACGGAGAGUGCAAUCGUUAAUCGGAAUUACUGGGCGUAAAGCGCACGCAGGGGGUCUGUCAAGUCGGAUGUGAAAUCCCCGGGCUCAACCUGGGAACUGCAUUCGAAACUGGCAGGCUAGAGUCUUGUAGAGGGAAGUAGAAUUCCAGGUGUAGCGGUGAAAUGCGUAGAGAUCUGGAGGAAUACCGAUGGCGAAGGCGGCCCCCUGGACAAAGACUGACGCUCAGGUGCGAAAGCGUGGGGAGCAAACAGG